rnacentral:lncRNA from 1 species
GCCAACCCCAGGAUCACAAGAGGCACAAGAAACUGCAAAAUCUUCACAACAAAAUCUUGAGUCUUGUCCGGAUUGUAGGCCCUGUCAGCAGGCGCAACAUAUGUGCGCUUCUUAGGAACAGUAGAUUUGUCUACCUCCCCAAUGUAGUACUUGUGCAUCAUGUCUCUAGCAUCGUCACUGUGGCCCACGUCCUCAAAAUCAUCUGUCGCAUCUUUCCCUUUGCUGCUAGCAGAACUUCAUCACCUCCAGGGUGAUCCUCCAUAA